CUAUCUAUACACUCACCUCUAUCAUAUCUCUAUAUCUCACCUCUAUCUAUCUAUCUAUCUAUCUAUCUAUCUAUCUAUCUAUCUAUCUAUCUAUCUAUCUAUCUAUCUAUCUAUCUAUCUAAGCUGAUGAUGUGACGUGAUCACAUGUGUGCCACGCCCCCAAAAUAAACAGAAUUUCAAAAUUACCUCAACAUACACAUGUGACCUAUCAAAACGUUCAGCACAAUGAGGGGAACUGCAUGGCGUGUGUUCUGAUGGUGUCACGUGACGUCACUUGCGCGCCAAACCCCAAAAUUAGCAAAAUCACAAAAUUAGCACAACAUACACAUGUGACCUAUCAAAACGCUCAGCACAAUGAGGGGAAAUUUGAGACGUGAGUUUUGAUGAUGUCACGUGAUGUCACGUGUGCACCAACCCCCAAAAUAAGCAAAAUUGCAAAAUUACCCCAACAUACACAUGUGUCAUAUCAAAACACUCAACACAACGAGGGGAACUGCAUGACAUGUAUCCUGGUGACGUCACAUGGCAUGACAAGCGCACCACGCCCCCAAAAUAAUUGGAAUUUCAAAAUUACUCCAAGAUACACAUGUGACAUAUCAAAACGCUCAGCACAUUGUGGGGAACUGCAUGACGUGUUUCUGUGUGAUGUCACGUGACUUCACGUGUGCGCCAAAUCCCAAAAUUAGUGGAAAUACAAAAUAACCGCAACAUACACAUGUGACAUAACAAAACUCUCAGCAUAAUGUGAGGAACUGCUUGACGUGUAUCGUGGUGACAUAUACACUUGCCUCCAAAAUUAUUGGCACCCAAUCUCUCCACUCACCUCCAAAAAGCAUCAGCCAUUGCGACUACUUGCUUCGUCAAGCCAACAUCAAAGUUUGUCACCACAAACUUUAAAAAUCUAGUCAUUAUUAUUAUUAUUAUUAUUAUUAUUAUUAUUAUUAUUAUUAUUAUUAUUAUUAUUAUUAUUAUUGUUAUUAUAACAAACCAGGAAGCAUGUAUACAUAUAUGUAUACAUGUAUACAUAUAUAUAUAUUAUAGAACCAGUACAUGAGAUUUGGAAAUAAGAAAGUAAAACAUCUAACACUGUUUUGCUAAAUACAGAUCUGUAACUACCAUGGCCAUUGCUAGGCCAUUUAUAGGGGCUUCAGCCCCCCAACAUUUCUACUCAACCGCUAUUCUGCGAUUCUCGCCUCAGUCCCCUUUAAAUUUCAUAUGAAAACGGCGGCAGACUUUGGUUCCUCCUCGUUUUUCAGCACGUUCUUCAAUCCGCAGACCGAGGAUCAGAAGACAGAGUGUGUGUGUGUGUGUGUGUAUGUGUGUGUGUUUGUGAUCAGACUCAUAUUUGGCUUGUUCAGUACUCAAAUGUUAUACACAUCUAUGCAAUACAGUGGAAUGCAAUAAGUUUACCAUCCUACCGUGUUAGUCAAUCCAGGCGCAUUUCUAGGAUUUGAAAACAUCAGGGGCUGAGCCUGAAACAUCAGGGGCUAAUUAGGGAGAGAGGGUAAGCAAGAAUAACAUGUUUUGCAAGAGCAUUUUUAUGUAAUAUUAUUUAAUAAUAAACACAAAUUAACACAAAUAGUAUGUAACUUUAGAAAAUUUAAUUCAAUCUUUUUUGACUCCUCCCAUCAUUUCACUAAAAAGGAGUUCAUUAAAUUCUUUACAUUUUCUCUCUCACACAGGUCUACCAUGCAAUAUUAUCUCUUUUACAGCUUGUGUGUGAAGCAGUGCCGUGUAAAUUCUUUUUUAUUUAUUAUCAUUUUACAAUAAUCUAUAUUAUACUUGCACCUCUUAUUUCAUUCCUCAUUUAUGCUGCCACUACUGUAUGUAUUAUUCUUUCUUUCUUUCUCUUUUUUUUUUUACCUCUCUUCUCUUCGAUUAUUGUUCUCUCAUCUCUCAUUCUCUCAUCUGUGCUUGUAUCUUGUCUUCAUGCUCUUGGUGAUUUUUCUAUCCUAUUUCUUUGAGGGUGGAAUCAUAAGAGAGUAUCUCUUUGACUUGACUUGAACAAAACGUCAAUUACCAUACUAGUAUUUAUAGUGCUGAGAAUUUCUUUUUCAAUUGACAGAACAGUCGAAUGAUGGAGUCUGUUCUGGCCCAUUGUUCACCUAAGCCAUGUCUGUAUUUUAACUUAAGUACUGCAUUAGUUAAUAAUAGAAAGUCAUGAUGUUCAGACUGUAAUGUCUUAGCACUUUAAUAGUUUAUAUUUUAUUUAGAUCUAUCUUUAGGCUUAUUUAAUUUAAGUACGUCUUGGGUAUGGAAUAAUAUUCAAAAGGGUCCUAUGUGUCAGGGGUUUUCAUAAUCAAAGAUAGUGGGCCUCCUUUUUGACACAACAUACAUUUGCCUACUUUUAUCAACUGUGUUAACAUUAAAAAUUAAAAGUUAGACUAUUAUCUGGAUAAGAAGAUUGUUGUGUUUUCUGACCGUUUUUAUUGCUGUCAUGCUCAAGGGCUGUAAGGUGUUUUAGUCACGUGGUGUGAAAGCGGCACUGCACAGACCGACAGGUGUAUGACAUUAAAGUAUCACGAGAGCGGUUCUAGAGCAUAUUUGAGCGCACACUCUCACAGUAUUUUGGCCUGUGUGUGUGCGUGCGUGUGUGUAUGUGUGAGCCCCCCUUAAAUGAAAAUCCUAGAAUCGCCCCUGUUCCUUGACAAUAUAUUUUAAAGGUUGACUGAUUUUGUUUUAUUAUUUUCUAAAUGAACUUGAUUUCUUGCAUGUUGAUUCAGGUAGUGAGACUGAACUGAACCCAAUAAAUGCAUUUCCAAAAUCUACCAUCUCACCAGUCAGUUCAGCACAUAACCUCUUAGAGAAACACCAAGAGAUAUCUAGUACUAAAUGGAGCUUGAAAUUCAUCCUGGGAACCAUUUUUGGCAGCAUGGUAAUCAUUGUCAUUAUGGCCAUCUCACUGGCUGUGGUCUACUACAAAAAGAAAUUAAGCGAUAAACAUCCUAGAAGCUUCCCUAGUGCACCCAUCAUCAUACAACAGCAUCCUCAGGAGCUCAUCUACACCACAGUGGACUUCAAGUUCCAUCAAAAAACAUCCAACAUUAAUAACAACCUGGACAUCCACACCUUAGGACCUGGUUCAAGCAAUGCAUUAAAAGCAAAGGACAGUGUAGAGUAUGCUACAAUAGUAGGGGUUUUAUGAUUAAUGAAAAACAUAAUCAUGAUAUGUGACUGUUUUUAUUAGAGUGGAUGACUGAAUACUUUUGCCAUUGAAAUAUUACAGUAUUCACAUAUUACAUAGGCUGCAAUGGCCUAUUUGUGUAGAAACUAUUUUCUGAGGGUUUUGUUGCGUUUCUUUUGGGUUUCUUAUCAAACAAGACAUGAGCUUUUAUACUGUGAAGUGUGCACAUGCCAGUAUUUACUUGUUUAUCUAUGUGUUUAUCAUUGAAGUCUUUGCUUUUGCUCAAUAUAAGUUUGAAGACAGUCAAUAUUAAACAGAGUCACAAGUUUUCUAUUUUGCAUUCUUUUCUAUCAAUUCUCAUUACAAAAUAUAUUAUUGACAAUUCGAGUGAAAAAGUCGUUGUUAGUGUUUGGUAUGUCCCUUUUUGCUUUACUGACAGUGUGCACUCAGUCUUGCAUGGAUUUCAAGAUGAAAUUUGUGCAAAACUUUAUGAUCCAGUGUCAUUUGAACACAUGUGAAUAGACAAGAUUAUAUUAGUCAUGAGGAAAAUCUGACCUUUUGUACAAAGGAGUUACAUGAUAUAAAUAGGGCCUUAAAAUCGAGCCUUGAAUAUUAAAUUUUAUUAAAUAUUGAACAUCUACUUUCUGAUUUCUCCAAUUUUAAAUGAAAAAUCCCAGAUUUUCAACAGACUUUUAGACCCCAUUGUAUAUGAACAAUAGACAAUACUGGUAUCAGAAAACAAAAACCUUUUGAUAUCCUAGACAUAUUCACCAUAAAAUGAAUCGUUUUUACCCAAGGCACCUGACUAUGACUAUGUGCAGAUGGAUCCAGUAUCAUCAAAUUACCUUUAAUACCUUUAUAGUGGUAAAGCACUAACACAAGUUGAUAUGUGAUGAAUAUUUUUAUUUUAUUGCUUGCUUUAAUGCUCAUUUUAAUUGCAUGCUUUCAUAUUUCAUUUGCA